rnacentral:lncRNA from 1 species
GAGGCGGGGAGGCAGGUGGUCCAGGUGCGCCCCUGCCCGGGGGGGCGAGGCGUCCGGCGGGAAGGCUGCAGCGACCGCAUGGAGGAAGGGGCGGCAGGUGCGCGGCGCUGGAAGAACCGGCGGCUGGGAGAGCAUCUCUGCCUCGCCCAUCUUGCCCCCUCCCCACCUCCUCUCUGGCGUUGGGACGGGAGGCGGGAGGGAGGAAUGGAACCAGGGAGUCCGAAGUACAGCUUUGACAACUGUCGCGCUGGCCGGGAUCAGCAGAUCUGUUUUCACUACCUCAAGGUACACAGCCCCAAACACUGCCCAUCCCCAGCUCCCCAUGCACAUCUUUCCUGUUGGAGAAACCAGGAGAGAGAUGAGCAUUUCUGUCCCAGUUCCGAACUCCCCAGAGAGAUUCUGAUGGGCCCAGCUUAGGUCAGGGGAUAGUCUUCACUCAAGAGUUCCUGAGAUAACAGAGACUGGAGUAGCAGGCAUUGCAGAACUGAUUUUAUAAAGGAAGAACGUGUACCAUAAAUAUUGCUAGUUAAAAGCGUGUAUACUGUUGAGUUCUACCUCCUCAGAAGUCUAAAAGGUUUCCUUCCUUUGAGGGUGAAGAAGCAGUAACAGGCGUCCUCCAUCAGACCCCUCUCUGUGGGCACCUAGAACACUUCCCAUUGACGUCUGCUUCAAGGGGAGGUCACUAAAAGUGCCCCACAUGAUGCAGCAGACAUUUCGCUGGUCCCAGUGCCCUCCCCAAGACCUUCCAGAUGGUGAAGUGUUAAGAGUCUAAAAUGGAGUAAAUGAUCUGCAGAAAUUCAGUGGUGUCAGAGGAGCCAGUCCAAAGUCACUCGGCUCUAAACGCUGCGAUUCUAUUAUUUUAAUGAUGCCCAGGAACACAAAGAGGCACGACAGACCCAGAGAUAUGGCACGCACACUUGGGAAACCCAGAAUAAUGGGAACUCAAAACUGUUAUUCAUUCGAGAGCUCCUCAGUCCAAGAAGAUGCCACCUUGGUCAGAUGUGGAUGAGGCAUGACUGGACCGACCCUGUGGGCUCGGCACCCACCUGUGCUAUAAACUGUUCAUGUGAAAACUGUGUGCCCCUGGGUUGUCUGACCUGCAGCUGUACCGCACUUUUAGUACAAUGCCUGCCACCCACAGGAGUGUUGUCACAAUUGAAGUGAAUGCUAUAAAGCAUUGUGAGCAACUCAAAAGAAGGGUGCUGCUUAACUACCCAAAAUUACUAUACACCCACAGGUAAAGCUCUCUCUCUCUCUUUCUCUCUCUCUCUCUCUCUCUCGACACUCUUAAUAUGGUAAUAUAAAAGGGCAUUCCUCAGGGUACAUUUAAAUGUCUGUGUGUGUUUCAUUCCAUUUGUUAUUCAUUUUAACUUUUAAAUUAAUUAUUAUUUUCAGGAUGUUAUCCUUGCACUAAAGGAAACCUAUUAAUUUAAUGCUUCUAUGUCACUACUAUGGACUGAAUAUUUGUGUCCCCCCAAAAUUCAUAUGUUGAAAUCCUAACCCUCAAUGUGCUGCAUUGGGAGGUGUGGCUUUGGGGAGGUGAUUAUGUCAUGACGACAGAGUCCUCAUGAAUAAGAUUAGUGCCCUUAUAAAAGAGACCCAGAGAGCUCUUUCACCCCUUUCUGCCAUGUAAGGACAUAGUCAGAAGACCACAGUCUAUAAACUGGUAAGCUGGUCCCUACCAGACACUGAAUCUGCAUCUUAAUCUUGGACUUCCCAGCCUCCAGAACUGUGAGAAGUAAGUGUAGUUUAAGCCACCCAGUCUAUAGUAUUUUUGUUACAGCUGCCUGAAUGGAGUAAGACAGUCACCAUGUUUGAAAAAGAGACAUAUUUGGGUCUCUAGAAGCUGCCUGUCUGUUAAUUUAUGACUAAAAUUAAUUUGGUCAUGAUUUCCUCUCUAAAUCUAGAUUAUUUGGCCAUGUGUCAGAAACACAUGUUUGGGAAUUUAUUUGGCUAGAUGGCUUGGAUUGAAGCCUCAAAUUUUAAAAAGAAAGAAAAAAAGCACAACUAAACAGAAGCUAAUCAAUGUAAAUACCUGACAGCAUUGAAGCAGCCAGGGACGAUGGUGGCCUAAAGCAUCAUAGAUAGCUGUAUAGCUAUCUUUUUCUGUAUAGCUUGCUUUUACUUUUCCUUUCUUUCUUUUAUAAAAUAACAGCUUUAUUGAGAUGUAAUUCACAUAUCAAAAAUGCAUCCUUUCAACAUGUGCAAUUCAGUGUUCUUAGUACAUUCACAAAGUUGUGCAACCAUUGACACUAGUUCCAGAAUAUUUUCAUUACCCGAAAAAGAAGCCCUAUGCUUAUCUGCAGUUACCCCAUUCCCCCUUUCUGGAGCCCCUGGAAACCAUUAAUCUACUUUCUGUCUCUACGGACUUGCCUCUUCUGGACAGUUUAUAUAAAUGGAAUCAUACAUUAUGUGGAUUCUUUCAUUCAGCAUAAUACUUUCAAGGUUCAUCUAUCUUUUUUCCUUUUUAUGGCCAAAUAAUAUUCCAUCGUAUGGCUAUAACACACUCUGUCUGUUCAUCAGCUGAUGGACAUUUGGGUUGUUUCCACAUUUUAGCUACUAUUAAUCAUGUUCUGUGAACAUGAGUGUACAAGUUUUUGUGUAGACAUGUUUUCAGUGCUCUUGGGUGUAUACCUAGCACUGGCAUUGCUGGGCCAUAUGGCAACUCAAUGGUUAACUUUUUGAGGAACUGCCAAGCUGUUUUCCAAAGUGACUGCAUCAUUUACAUUCUCACCAACGAUAAAUGAGGAUUCAGAUUUCCCCACAUCCUUGUCAACACUUUUUAUUGUCUAUCUUUUUGAUGAUAGAUGAUUUAAUGGAUGUGAAGUGGUAUCUUGUGGUUUUGGUUUGCAUUACCCUAAUAACUAAUAUGGUUGAGAAUCUUUUCAUGUGAUUACUAACCAACCUUUCUUUGUCUCUCCUUCACCCCUACUAUUCCCAGCCUCUGGUAACCAUGAAUCCACUCUCUACCUCCAUGAGAUCCACAUUUAGCUCCCACAUAUGAAUGACAGCAUGUGGUAUUUGUCUUUCUGUGCUCAGCUUAUUUCACUCAACAUAAUGACCUCCAGGUCCAUCCAAGUUGCUGUAAAUGAAAGCAUUGUAUUUUUUAUGGCUGAAUAAUAUUCCACCGUGUAUAUGUACCACAUUUUCUUUAUCCAUUUAUCCAUUGAUGGACACAUAGGUUGAUUGUAUAUCUUGGCUAUUGUGAAU